rnacentral:rRNA from 1 species
GAUGAACGCUGGCGGCGUGCUUAACACAUGCAAGUCGAACGAAGCAACUUAUUACGAUCCCUUCGGGGUGACGAUUUGUUGACUGAGUGGCGGACGGGUGAGUAACGCGUGGGUAACCUACCUUGUACAGGGGGAUAACAGUUGGAAACGACUGCUAAUACCGCAUAAGCGCACAGCAUCGCAUGAUGCAGUGCGAAAAGUUUUUCGGUAUAAGAUGGACCCGCGUCUGAUUAGCUAGUAGGCGGGGUAACGGCCCACCUAGUCAACGAUCAGUAGGGGUUCUGAGAGGAAGGUCCCCCACAUUGGAACUGAGACACGGUCCAAACUCC